rnacentral:rRNA from 1 species
GAUGAACGCUGGCGGCGUGCCUAAUACAUGCAAGUCGAGCGAACGGAUGAGAAGCUUUCUCUUCUGAUGUAAGCGGCGAACGGGUGAGUAACACGGGGAUAACCUACCUAUAAUAACGGGAUAACUUCGUGAAACCGGAGCUAAUACCGGAGGAUUUUUUGAACCUCAUGGUUAAAAAGUGAAAGACGGUCUUGCUGUCACUAUUAGAUGGAUCCUCGCUUCAUUAGCUAUUUGGUAAGGUAACGGCUUACCAAGGCAGCGAUGCAUAGCCGACCUGAGAGGGUGAUCGGCCACACUGGAACUGAGACACGGUCCAGACCCCUAAGGGGGGAAGCAGUAGGGACUCUUCCGCGAUGGACGAAAGCCUAACGGUGCACCGCCGCGUGAGUGAUGAAGGUGUUAGGAUGGUAAAGCGAUGUUAUUCGGGAAGACCAUAUGUGUAAGUAAGUGUGAACAUCUUGACGGUACCUAAUGAGAAAGCCACGGCUAACUACGUG